rnacentral:lncRNA from 1 species
UUUGAAUCCUUGUGUGUGCGUUUUGGGGAAAUAUUUUUAUUAUGUUAAAUAGUAAAGUUGUUUUAAGUUUAAAACUAAUUAUUAGUUUUAUUUUUAUUAUUAUUUUAUUAUUGUUACUACUUUCUUUCUUUUCACGCUCUCCUCUCCCUCUCCCUUUCCUUUGUUGGCUUUUAUUUUUCUUUUCUUUUUUCUUCUUUUGAGAAACGAUUUCACUUGUGGCUUUUGGAGAGCUUCGCUCAUUUUUUGUCAAGUUGGUGUCUGGACAUCAUUGAUCGCGAACCAAGUGUGGGUUCCGAACCUUUUCUAUUUUGUUUGUGAAUUCUUGAGUCCAUUCCGUGAAAAUUGGCAUUUCAUUUACAUUGUUGCAUUGCUUUUUUAUACUUAGAACUUGUUUAAUUUGGUAUGAUUUCAGGUUAUCGAGG